rnacentral:rRNA from 1 species
GAUGAACGCUGACAGAAUGCUUAACACAUGCAAGUCAACUUGAACUUCGGUUUGGGUGGCGGACGGGUGAGUAACGCGUAAAGAACUUGCCUCACAGCUAGGGACAACAUUUGGAAACGAAUGCUAAUACCUGAUAUUAUGAUUUUAGGGCAUCCUAGGAUUAUGAAAGCUAUACGCGCUGUGAGAGAGCUUUGCGUCCCAUUAGCUAGUUGGAGAGGUAACGGCUCACCAAGGCGAUGAUGGGUAGCCGGCCUGAGAGGGUGAUCGGCCACAAGGGGACUGAGACACGGCCCUUACUCCUACGGGAGGCAGCAGUGGGGAAUAUUGGACAAUGGACCAAGAGUCUGAUCCAGCAAUUCUGUGUGCACGAUGAAGUUUUUCGGAAUGUAAAGUGCUUUCAGUUGGGAAGAAAAAAAUGACGGUACCAACAGAAGAAGUGACGGCUAAAUACGUGCCAGCAGCCGCGGUAAUACGUAUGUCACAAGCGUUAUCCGGAUUUAUUGGGCGUAAAGCGCGUCUAGGUGGUUAUGUAAGUCUGAUGUGAAAAUGCAGGGCUCAACUCUGUAUUGCGUUGGAACCUGUGUAACUAGAGUACUGGAGAGGUAAGCGGAACUACAAGUGUAGAGGUGAAAUUCGUAGAUAUUUGUAGGAAUGCCGAUGGGGAAGCCAGCUUACUGGACAGAUACUGACGCUGAAGCGCGAAAGCGUGGGUAGCAAACAGG